CAGCCCUGUGCCUUGACUGCCUCCGGGAGAAAGUUUCUUGGGAAUGGUUGCUGAAACAAGAAGCGUGUCCAGCCUCCAGGGCUAAUAAGAGCACGUUGUCCUUGGUGGCAGGAGGGAGCACUUUGCUUUAUCUAUGCAUUCCCUGGCAAGCAGCAGUGGUGGAGAAAGAGACAUGUCUCACUGCCCAGGUGUGACUCAUUGCACAGCCAGAGGUUAUAAUGAAGUAUCCCACUCAUCCUUUAGCUCACCCUUUGUUCAAGACAAUGCAGAUUGCGGAAGUUUCUGGGGAGGUAAGAGGAUUGCGAAAGGGCUGAAGACUCUUCUUUUAUCUAACCUAUG